UCCUACGGGAGGCAGCAGUGGGGAAUUUUCCGCAAUGGGCGAAAGCCUGACGGAGCAAUCUCGCGUGAGGGAUGACUGCCUAUGGGUUGUAAACCUCUUUUUUCAGGGAGGAAUAAAUGACGUGUACCUGAAGAAUAAGCAUCGGCUAACUCCGUGCCAGCAGCCGCGGUAAUACGGAGGAUGCAAGUGUUAUCCGGAAUCACUGGGCGUAAAGCGUCUGUAGGUGGUUUAAUAAGUCAACUGUUAAAUCUUGAAGCUCAACUUCAAAAUCGCAGUCGAAACUAUUAGACUAGAGUAUAGUAGGGGUAAAGGGAAUUUCCAGUGGAGCGAUGAAAUGCGUAGAGAUUGGAAAGAACACCGAUGGCGAAGGCACUUUACUGGGCUAUUACUGACACUCAGAGACGAAAGCUAGGGUAGCAAAUGGGAUUAGAUACCCCAGUAGUCCUAGCUGUAAACAAUGGAUACUAGAUGUUGAACAGAUCGACCUGUGCAGUAUCAAAGCUAACGCGUUAAGUAUCCCGCCUGGGAAGUAUGCUCGCAAGAGUGAAACUCA
rnacentral:rRNA from 1 species